UCAAUGUAUACUUUGCUAAUAUUUGUCUAAGUGUUAAUUGGGAAUUUUGCCGACUCAUUCAUUAUGAAUAUAAAUUGUGGGUAUAUUUUCAAGAUGAUUUAGUUCGUUGGAACAAUCCGUAGCAUAUUCAAUUAUGAUUCGUUUAGCUUGCUUUGUUGUUUUAGUGAUGUUGGGACUGUCUGAAGGAGCUGUCAGAGUGGCUAGAUCACCGCAGUUUAGCCAAGCCAGUGCAAGUGCCCAAGCUGGGGGAUUCGGUGGUGGUUACUACCCCCCACCAGGCCCACCAGGUUUUGGGAGAGGAUAUGGAGGGGGGCAUUUUGGAGGGGGAGGAUUUGGAGGGGGCCAUUUUGGAGGUGGAGGAUUUGGAGGAGGUGGAUUUGGAGGCGGUGGUUUUGGUGGGGGCAGAUUUGGAGGUGGCGGGUAUGGAAGCUUCGGUCGGCCUGGUUUUGGAAUUGGUGGUCCCGGCUUCGGUCUGCCGUCACUGAGUAUAUCGAAGAGUAUCAGCAUCGGGGGUGGAGGCGGCUCUCAAGCAAGUUCCAGUGCUGGUUCCUUUGGGAAAUGAACAUUCUACUAAUUACUUAAGUUUGUGUGGAACUAUUGUGUGAUGUGAUGAAGGUUAUAUUUUUCAGUUCAUAUUCAGAAUUAAAACCAAAGAUAUGAA